UAGGGAAUCUUCCACAAUGGACGCAAGUCUGAUGGAGCAACGCCGCGUGAGUGAAGAAGGCUUUCGGGUCGUAAAACUCUGUUAUUGAAGAAGAACGUGCGUGACAGUAACUGGUCAUGCAGUGACGGUAUUCAAUCAGAAAGUCACGGCUAACUACGUGCCAGCAGCCGCGGUAAUACGUAGGUGGCAAGCGUUGUCCGGAUUUAUUGGGCGUAAAGCGAGUGCAGGCGGUCUUUUAAGUCUGAUGUGAAAGCCUUCGGCUUAACCGAAGAAGGGCAUCGGAAACUGGGAGACUUGAGUGCAGAAGAGGAGAGUGGAACUCCAUGUGUAGCGGUGAAAUGCGUAGAUAUAUGGAAGAACACCAGUGGCGAAGGCGGCUCUCUGGUCUGUAACUGACGCUGAGGCUCGAAAGCGUGGGUAGCAAACAGGAU
rnacentral:rRNA from 1 species